GAUGAACGCUGGCGGCGUGCCUAAUACAUGCAAGUCGAGCGAACAUAUGAGGAGCUUGCUCCUCUUACGUUAGCGGCGGACGGGUGAGUAACACGUGGAUAACCUACCUAUAAGACUGGGAUAACUUCUGGAAACCGGAGCUAAUACCGGAUAAUAUAUUGAACCGCAUGGUUCAAUAGUGAAAGACGUUUUUUCUGUCACUUAUAGAUUGAUCCCCGCCGCAUUAGCUAGUUGGUAAGGUAACGGCUUACCAAGGCAACGAUGCGUAGCCGACCUGAUAGGGUGGUCGGCCACACGGGAAGUGAGACACGGUCCAGACUCCGACGGGAGGAAGCAGUAGGGAAUCUUACGCGAUGGGCGAAAGCCUGACGGAGCAAAGCCGCGGGAGUGAUGAAGGUGUUAGGAUCGGAAAACGCUGUUAGUAGGGAAGAACAAAUGUGUAAGUAACAAGGAACGUCUUGACGGUACCUAAUCAGAAAGCCACGGCUAACUACGUG
rnacentral:rRNA from 1 species